AGAGUUUGGAUCCUGGCUCAGGGUUAACGCUGGCGGCGCGCAUAACACAUGCAAGUCGAGCGAGGGCUUAUUUCCCGCAAGGGAGAUGAGUUCCUAGCGGCGAACGGGUGAGUAACACGUGGGCAACCUUUCCUAUCGCGGGGGAUAACACCGGGAAACCGAUGCUAAUACCGCAUGUCGUCACUGGUCGCAUGGCUGGUGAAGAAAGCAGCAAUGCACGAUGGGGUGGGCCCGCGGCCUAUCAGCUAGUCGGUGGGGUAACGGCCUACCGAGGCGAUGACGGGUAGCUGGUCUGAGAGGACGACCAGCCACACGGGGACUGAGACACGGCCCCGACUCCUACGGGAGGCAGCAGUGAGGAAUCUUCCGCAAUGGGCGAAAGCCUGACGGAGCGACGCCGCGUGUGGGGUGAAGUCCUUCGGGAUGUAAACCACUGUCGGAGGGGAAGACAUCGACGGUACCCUCCAAGAAAGCCCCGGCUAACUACGUGCCAGCAGCCGCGGUAAUACGUAGGGGGCUAGCGUUAUCCAGAUUUACUGGGCGUAAAGCGCGUGUAGGCGGCUGGUUAGGUGUGAUGUGAAAUCUUCCGGCUCAACCGGAAAACUGCAUUGCAAACCGGCCUGGCUAGAGUGCAGGAGAGGGAAGCGGAAUUCCAGGUGUCAGCGGUGAAAUGCGUAGCAUAUCUGGAGGAACACCAGUGGCGAAGGCGGU
rnacentral:rRNA from 1 species